rnacentral:rRNA from 1 species
UACGAAGGGGGCUAGCGUUGUUCGGAUUUACUGGGCGUAAAGCGCACGUAGGCGGAUCGAUCAGUCAGGGGUGAAAUCCCAGAGCUCAACUCUGGAACUGCCUUUGAUACUGUCGAUCUGGAGUAUGGAAGAGGUGAGUGGAAUUCCGAGUGUAGAGGUGAAAUUCGUAGAUAUUCGGAAGAACACCAGUGGCGAAGGCGACUCACUGGACACAUAUUGACGCUGAGGUGCGAAAGCGUGGGGAGCAAACAGG